rnacentral:rRNA from 1 species
UACGUAGGGUGCAAGCGUUAAUCGGAAUUACUGGGCGUAAAGCGUGCGCAGGUGGUUAUGCAAGACAGAUGUGAAAUCCCCGGGCUUAACCUGGGAAUUGCAUUUGUGACUGCAUGGCUAGAGUGCGGUAGAGGGGGAUGGAAUUCCGCGUGUAGCAGUGAAAUGCGUAGAUAUGCGGAGGAACACCGAUGGCGAAGGCAAUCCCCUGGGCCUGCACUGACACUCAUGCACGAAAGCGUGGGGAGCAAACAGG